UGCCGGCCUAUGCGCACUCCUGCAGUCCCAGCCACCAGAAAGGCCAGCACUUUUUUUCUAUAGUGUACAAGCAUGGCCACCUCUGCUGGAUUGCGGAGUGGUCAUAACCUCUGGAUACGAGCAGUGUAUGGUGUGAUGG